rnacentral:rRNA from 1 species
UCGGGAAUUUUGGGCAAUGGGGAAACCCUGACCCAGCAACGCCGCGUGAAGGAUGAAGUAUUUCGGUAUGUAAACUUCGAAAGAAUAGGAAGAAUAAAUGACGGUACUAUUUAUAAGGUCCGGCUAACUACGUGCCAGCAGCCGCGGUAAUACGUAGGGACCAAGCGUUGUUCGGAUUUACUGGGCGUAAAGGGCGCGUAGGCGGCAUGACAAGUCACUUGUGAAAUCUCUGGGCUUAACCCAGAACGGCCAAGUGAUACUGUCGCGCUAGAGUGCAGAAGGGGCAAUCGGAAUUCUUGGUGUAGCGGUGAAAUGCGUAGAUAUCAAGAGGAACACCUGAGGUGAAGACGGGUUGCUGGGCUGACACUGACGCUGAGGCGCGAAAGCUAGGGGAGCAAACGGGAUUAGAUACCCAGGUAGUCCCUGAGCGGGCUGGCAAGGCGCAU